AUUGCCAAGCCUUGGAGAGGAGAAUGCAGCUCCAACACUGUGGCAAGAGCUGUAGAUCACACUGAUUUCCCAAACAAUCAGCAGCUGUCAAUAUUGGUCCCGUUUCUGCUGAAUCUCUGGAUAUCAAGAUCUUUUAAGUGUCUGGCCUUGCGGCACUGCCAAAGCUGAGACAUACAAGCAAAGUUAAGGUGAGCUAUGACCAUGGACCUGAGCAUCCUAGAUCUCCUACUGCAGAGAAAAGUUCACUGACUGUCUAGCUGCUGCUCUCUCAGACUCACCUCGUAUCUGUGACAGCUCUCCGGCCUUCCCCAGGCACCAAAUAUGCAAUGCACAAGACGAAUGCAAAUCUAUUACCCGGGAAAGAGGACUCCUGUGAGAGAUGACAUUGACAAUAACUAAGGGGCCCAUUUUCCUCACCACAUGUCUGUCAGUAAAUGAUAUAGUGUAAAUCCUUUCCCCCACAAUCUUCUUUCUUUCCUUUUUCUCAAAUCUGUAUUGUUCCCUGACUUUAUGUUUUAUUCUUUGCAGUAAUUUUUGUCCCAAUAAACCACAUGUCUAUCUUUUAAGGGAAUAUAUUUCAUGAAGAAGAAAAAUAAAUACACGUUAUCACAAUUUACAUCAACUAAUAGAUGAUGAUAGUCAAGCUAUGGAAUAAUUAGGAAGUAGAAUAUACAUUCUCAUAACAAUCCAUAAUUUUAACUGUUAAUUUUUGUAGAGGUCAUCAGCAAAAUAAUAUAAUUUUCAGAAUUAGUUUACACAUAAAUUUCUAAGUUAGGAAUAUAAGACUAUAGCAUAAAUUUCAACUUUUAUAUAACACUAAUUUGAUUAAUGAAUAUUGAGAAGUAAGAUGGUACAGGCAUAUAUAUGCCACAACUUCAAAUAAAAUUACCAUUUUUUAUUUCUUAUUUAUUUAAAUUAUUUUGGUAAUUGUAAAUAUAUGUUUUUGAAAGCGGACUUUAAAUGCAAUAAGCCAGAAACAACAUAACUGAUCACAUUUUCGAGUAAAAAUGUCCAUGAAUCUUUUUAUCUACUUGUAUAGUGACCACAUCCACAAUA